UCCUUAGUCGCCGCCAUGACGACCGCGUCUACCUCACAGGUGCGCCAGAACUACCACCAGGACUCAGAGGCCGCCAUCAACCGCCAGAUCAACCUGGAGCUCUAUGCCUCCUCCGUUUACCUGUCCAUGUCUUACUAGUUUGACCGCGAUGAUGUGGCUUUGAAGAACUUUGCCAAAUACUUUCUUCACCAAUCUCAUGAGGAGAGGGAACAUGCCGAGAAACUGAUGAAGCUGCAGAACCAAGGAGGUGGCCGAAUCUUCCUUCAGGAUAUCAAGAAACCAGACUGUGAUGACUGGGAGAGCGGGCUGAAUGCGAUGGAGUGUGCAUUACAUUUGGAAAAAAAUGUGAAUCAGUCACUACUGGAACUGCACAAACUGGCCACUGACAAAAAUGACCCCCAUUUGUGUGACUUCAUUGAGACACAUUACCUGAAUGAACAGGUGAAAGUCAUCAAAGAAUUGGGUGACCACGUGACCAACUUGCACAAGAUGGGAGCACCUGAAUCUGGCUUGGCAGAAUAUUUCUGACAAGCACACCCUGGGAGACAGUGA